UACGAAGGGGGCGAGCGUUGUUCGGAAUUACUGGGCGUAAAGGGCGCGUAGGCGGCGCACCAAGUCAGGCGUGAAAGCCCUGGGCUUAACCCAGGAAUUGCGUUUGAGACUGGCGUGCUGGAGUGCAGGAGAGGUCGGCGGAAUUCCCAGUGUAGAGGUGAAAUUCGUAGAUAUCUGGAGGAAUACCGGUGGCGAAGGCGGCAUCCUGGACCGACAUUGACGCUGAACGGCGAAAGCUAGGGGAGCAAACGGG
rnacentral:rRNA from 1 species